ACCGGCGGCUCGAGUGGUGGCCACUAUUACUGGGCUUAAAGCGUUCGUAGCUGGCUUGUUAGGUCUCUGGGGAAAUCUUCCGGCUCAACCGGAAGGCGUCUCAGGGAUACUGGCAGGCUAGGGACCGGAAGAGGUGAGAGGUACUCCAGGGGUAGGAGUGAAAUGCUGUAAUCCUUGGGGGACCACCUGAGGCGGAGGCGUCACACCGGGACGGCUCCCCCAGUGGAGAACGAAACCUGGGAGAGCAAAGCG
rnacentral:rRNA from 1 species